rnacentral:lncRNA from 1 species
UCCUGGGGAUGGAAUCAGGACACAAAGUGGAGGGGUUCAGAGUCGAGGGUCAGGGUUAGGAUUAGGAAGGUGUGGGUUGUAUUGAGGGGUGUGAUGGUUAAUAUCAAGCAUCAACUUGAUUGGAUUGAAGGAUGGAAAGUACUGUUCCCUGGGGGUGUCUGUGAGGGUGUUGCCAAAGGAGAUUAAGAUUUUACUUAGUGGACUGGGAAAGGCAGACCCACCCUCAAUCUGUUUUUUUUUUUUUUUGGAGACAGAGUCUUGCUCUGUCACCCAGGCUGGAGUGCAGUGGCGUGAUCUCGGCUCACUGCAAGCUCCGCCUCCCGGGUUCACGCCAUUCUCCUGCCUCAGCCUCCUGAGUAGCUGGGACUACAGGCGCCUGCCACCAUGCCUGAUGACUGUCCCAUAAGGCCUCCCAAGGCCCCAGUGAGCAGGGCAUGACUAAACAUGCAGCUACAUGUCAGAACCCUGGAGUCAGGCUCAGGGACACAGGACCAGGUGACAGGCACAGGAUGAACUGUCCACUCAUCCCCUGAGGUCCUAUGAAUGUUUUUUUCUUUUAGAGACAGGGUCUUGCUCUGUCACCCAGGCUGGUGUGAGCAUAGCUCACUGGAGCCAAGAACUCCUAGGCUCAAGCAGUUCUCCUGCCUCAGCCUCCUGAGUAGCUGAGGCUAUAGGUGCACACCACCACACCCAGCUAAUUUAAAAAAAAUUGUAGACAUGGAGUCUUGCUAUAUUGCCCAGGCUGGUCGCAUAUCUUGGCCAGGUGUGGUGGUUCAUGCCUGUAAUCCUAGCACUUUGGGAGGCCGAGGCAAGCAGAUCACCUGAGGUCAGGAGUUCAAGGCCAGCCUGGCCAACACAUAGAGUGAAAUAAUAGACACUGGAGACUCCGAAAGGUGGAAGCAUGAGAGGGGGUGAGGCGAAGGAGGAAAAUGACCUGUUGGGCACAGUGCACACUACUUGGGUGAUGGGUACAGUAAAAAGCCCAGAGUUCACCACCACACAACAUAUCCCUGUAAGAAACCUGCACUUGCGGGCGGGGCGCGGUGGCUCACGCCUGUAAUCCCAGCACUUUGGGAGGCUGAGGUGGGAGGAUCGCCUGAGGUCAGGAGAUCGAGACCAUCCUGGCUAACACGGUGAAACCCCGUCUCUACCAAAAAUACAAAAAAUUAGCCGGGCGAGGUGGCGGGCGCCUGUAGUCCCAGCUACUCGCGAGGCUGAGGCAGGAGAAUGGCGUAAACCCGGGGGGCGGAGCCUGCAGUGAGCGGAGAUCGUGCCACUGCACUCCAGCCUGGGCGACAGAGCCAGAGCGCGACUCC